GAUCCUGGCUCAGGAUGAACGCUAGCUACAGGCUUAACACAUGCAAGUCGAGGGGCAGCAUGAACUUAGCUUGCUAAGUUUGAUGGCGACCGGCGCACGGGUGAGUAACACGUAUCCAACCUGCCGAUGACUCGGGGAUAGCCUUUCGAAAGAAAGAUUAAUACCCGAUGGCAUAGUUCUUCCGCAUGGUGGAACUAUUAAAGAAUUUCGGUUAUCGAUGGGGAUGCGUUCCAUUAGGUUGG
rnacentral:rRNA from 1 species